GGAUGCAAGGGUAAUCUAAUGGCAACAUCUGUCAUCCAUGGUUGAUAUGGUUGAUCUGGCUGGCUAGACAGUGUCCCCUUCCUCCCUCACUGCUCCAUGUGUGUCCCUUUUGAAGUUGAGUGCUUGGCGGAAGAGGACAACCACUUUCCAUAAAGGAGGACUAUUUCCUCAGUCAAGGGUAUAAGAGUAGCUGCACUCCCCUGCUAGAACCUCCAAACAAGCUCAGUAAAUGUUUGUUGACCAUUAUGCAGCGAUAUUAAUACUUAACUCAAGGAAUACAUACCCAUUAAAU
rnacentral:snRNA from 1 species